AGACGAGAGGGAAGUUUCGGCGGCCGAAGGCCAAAGCCCUGCUGUGGGCAAAGGAAAAGAGAAGGUGGAGGAGUCAGAGUCAGAGGAAGAGGGAAGUCAGCUGGACAGGAUUGAGUCCAUGAACCUGGAGACCCAAGUUGCACUGGCCUUCUUCAAGCACCAAGGGUUCAGGUACCCACCUGCACCUGCCCCUUGAAUUUCACCCUCCCUAGGUUGUUAGUUUUUUUUUAGUUUUUGUUUUGCUUUGUUGUGUUGAGUCUUUGUGUGUUUGUCCUGUUUGUUUGUUGAGUCUGUCUGGCCAAAGCUGCGGGAAGGGUAACCUUCUGCCUGCACCGGUGUUUUGCCCAAAAGGCAACACACUUGGUGCAGGCACCCAAAGCAAUGGCCAUUUUCUGUGUCUUCUGUUGUUUGCUUGUCUCGUUUGUUUUGUUUGUGUUUUUUGUUUUCCUUGACCCCCUCCACACACCCACUUUGCCCAAAGC
rnacentral:lncRNA from 1 species